UACGAAGGGGGCUAGCGUUGCUCGGAAUUACUGGGCGUAAAGGGCGCGUAGGCGGCCCGCACAAGUCUGCGGUGAAAACCCCCGGCUUAACCGGGGGCCGGCCGUGGAAACUGUCGGGCUGGAGGCUGGGAGAGGGCAGCGGAAUUCCCGGUGUAGCGGUGAAAUGCGUAGAGAUCGGGAGGAACACCGGCGGCGAAGGCGGCUGCCUGGACCAGUCCUGACGCUGAGGCGCGAAAGCUAGGGGAGCAAACAGG
rnacentral:rRNA from 1 species